UAUCUUCACACAACCUUUAGGUUUUAUCUUUUAGAAUCACCUUCCCAAUCCUAUCAACGUUUCAGUCCAGUGGCAGGAGCUUCGAAUUAGGUAUGAACGAGCAUUGGCCUUCUCCCAAACCGUAAUUAGGGUUUCAAAUUGUAAGCUCCUUCCCCUCUAGUUUUAAUUGUUUAUAGUUUAUGAUUUUGAUUCCCUAUCUCUAAUUAUUUCUGCUUCGGUUACAGAUUGAUAUACAAAUCAAUUACUAGGUUCUUUCUCUUCCUUACCUUUUUAUUUCUUCUUAGUUCUUCUGUUUUUCCCGUUUUGUUUUUUUAACUGAAAAUUGACAUUAAAACUAGAGCUUGAUAAAUUGGGACUGAAUUAUCUUGGCGACAUCGACAAGCAGUAUACGUUGGAUUAUAUCAACCAGAUAUUACCCACAGGUGUCUUUUACUACUUCUUUACGUGUCAAAGAAGGGUUUUAGGCCAAUUCUUCUGAUGUUCUAAAUCUGUUCCCCUUUUCCUUUUUCCUUUUUCUUCCCAUCUGAAGCUGAUUAGUUAAUUUCUGAAUUUAGACUUAUCCCAAAGAAAUUCUAAAUUUACAACUUUUGGUUGAGAUUGUGGCUUGAAUCGGAGGAAUUUUCUUUGAUUGCUAGUUGUUAAUCUGGCAUAAAUACAUAUGGGACUGCCAAAUGCUUGUCUUUUUAGAGAAUCCCUCCAUGUUAAUAUUGGGCGCCAAUGCAGCUUGCCCACCAGCUUUUCGAUUGAAUGCUUGAAUGAGUGAUCACUGCAACUUCAUGCUGCUCGUUAUUUUUCUAUGAUGGGGUUUCUCCUUUUCAACAAAAAAAAUACAUUUCUUGCCGGUAUAUAUCUAGCUGAAGUGGACUGCAUAAUUAUCAAUCCCCCAAAUUUAUUGUUGUUGCUUAAAGAAGUGUAUGUUCAAUAUAUAGAUAAGGGAUAAUGGAAUUGAGACAAUUAUGUUAGCUUAUUGCAGGUCCAAUUAGGAAUUGUCAAAGUCCCAGAUAGAGGUCUUGGCUUAACGCAACUCUGAAAAAACAUUUUAAAUUACUACUUAGGAACUCAUAAGAAAUAGAAAAAGAUACUAUUAUGUUUACUUCUUAUACUAGGAAUUUGGGGUAUAAAAAAUGAAACCAAUAUUUAACUGUAUUUAAUGGUGUUCUUUUUUCUUUAUUCUAGUAGUUCUAAUAUGUUAUUCUUUUUUUCUUUAUUCUAGUAGAUCUGCAAACGUAGUUUCUUUAAGUGCUUUAUAAAAAAAUGGAUAGCUUUUUUAAGUCCUAGUGAGGGUCAGUCAGCUGCAAUUGUUUUAAAGCAAGGUUAAAUGAGUUGUCUAAGGUAUUGUGACUUGAUCUUUAAUUAGUUGUGUGUUCUGUUAUGUGAUUGUGCUUUGGAUCCCUUCAUUGUUCUUGAUAUCUAAGAGUAAAUGAUAUUUAGUUGAAUCAUAUGACUAAAUAUUUAGGAAGGAUUGAUAUAUUACAGUCUUUAUCAAAUGUAACAUUCAAAGCUUUCUCCUUUGGCAACAUGUAGCUGCAGUAGUGUUAAAAAAGAAAAGAGAAAAUAGCAUGUCAUUUAUUUCUUUUGCUUAUUAAAAAAAAAAAAAAAAAAAAAACAAAGACUCACUGUUUUACAAUAAUUUUAGACAAACAAAGAGGAUGAUAUUUCAUCACCUAAACGUGUAUGCAUGGCUAAAUGUAAGGUGGUUAUGUUAAGCUUAUUAUUCUAAUAAUUUGUAUUGUACGAUGAUUUGCACAAUAGUACUUUGGUCGGUAUUAAUCCUUAAAUGGUAUUAUGUGCAUCUAACUUAGUGUAUUACCCACUUGUACUACGUAAUUAAAUCGAGUUUUGGUAUUUAAUCACGUGGUUGAGGUAUGGUCAGAUGAUUGAUGAUGUUGUCUUAAUUGUCAAAGAGUAAGUGAUCUUUAUUUAGUUGUGUGCUUGCUUCACUUUUGGUAGUGUAUAUUUCACAAUAGAAGAAAUUGAGUAUAUUAUCAAUUGCUCAGGUACAAUUUGCAUAUUUAAGUUGAGGAGAUUUUCAUAUCGAUUACGUGGAGUGCGUACUCUUAUUCAAAUUGCAUCACUCAUUAGGUCCUUUGGAGAUCAAUGUCUACUCUUUCACUUGUGACUGUCGUCUCUGCCAUAUUGCGAUGAUCCUUUCAUUCAGUACGAAGUCAGGCUCAAAACAAGUGUAAGCCUCUUGUGUUAGAAUCUCAAUUUCAAACAAGUCUAGACUUUGGAUUUUUUAUUGCUUGAUAUAUCUUGCUUAAUAAUAUUCGGCUAAAAUAAACUUGUGCUACCUUGCAACCUGGUACUUUCCAACAACUUAUUUGAAGAUAAGCUCAUAGUUAGUAUUUAGUUUAUUAGUUUUUUGAAUGUUAUAAAAUAGUUAUUUCCUUAGUUAUAUUUUAAGUUUCUAAGUUGCAUUAUGUUCAACAAGCUUAAAUUCUUGAUGGAAUUCUCAACAUGAUCACUAAUUCAAGGGUUGAAAGUUGAGGGAAGUCGUACUGGUAAAAUCCUAGCAAGAUGAUGAAGGUGACGAUAUCCUUAACUAUUGAUAUUACUACUGUAAAUUCUUGGAACUCGCAUGCUUGACUUUGGCUAAUUUAGGAGCCAAAUCAUCAAUAACCAAACUUCUAACUUUUGGAUCACGGAUCCAUUAAGGUAUUCACAUAGACACCAAAAUUUGUUUUAUUCCUCUAUUUUGUUACCAUAGAUGGACUCUGUGAUUGUAUUGGUUGGGAUUUUCUAUAUUUUUACCAAGGUUCUAGAUUGAGGAUUUCAGGAUGGUGUUGAUAUUUGCAAGUUUGUGGUUAUAGACUUUUUAUGGGUUCUUUUCUUCAUGAAUCAAAGGAGCAGAGCUUCUAUUUGAUUUUUCUUUGUUUAUUUCUUCUCCUCCAUCAUCACCUUCUUAAUUAUUUUCUUUCAUUCACUAAUUCCAUCGCCAUUGCUAUGAAUCGAAGUCCUUAUUGAUCAAUAUCUAUUUUUGUGGCUUCAUUGUUGGAGCAUAAGUAGCAUAGUCAGAAACAGAUGAAACGUCCACUACUGCUGAUCACCUUCAGAUAGAGCAAGACAUGACAUUUAAUUGGGAAAAAUCUCCUUCAUCUAUGAAGUUGACUAAAUACCAUUAUUUCAUCUUCAUACUUAGAGGAAAGAUAAUCAUAGCUCUAAGAGAGCUACCACAUUCUUGGUGAAACUAGAAAAAAGGUACUGGUAGCUACAGUUAUAGAAAGGCAAAUAGAAAAGUUCCAUUCUCUGUCAUUAAUAAUAAAAUUAAUUCAGUGGUAAACUUUUGCUUACUUAGUUACUAAUGAGAUUUUUUCAUUUUGAUGAAAAGCAAAUGCAACCAUGUUUAGAAAGGCAAAUAGAAAAGCCCCAUUCUCUGGUUGUGCUCUCUUACAUUUCAACAUGUUAAUGUUUCUUCUUUUUCCAUGAUCUCAAGUUCUUUUUCAUAAGGCUUUUGCCUACAAAAAAAUGAUUAGGCUUGUGAUAGUUGAUUGUUCCUUAUUCAUUUGGUGGUAAUUAUAGCCCAGGUAUCCUAAGAUUUGAUUGCUCCCAUCAAUUGGGAAGUGGCAGCCCUCCGAAUUUGGACAAAAAUCUUUUUUCCUUCUUCGGUGUGGUUAAUGCAAUAACUCAGGUUAGUUCUUUUCUCUCUUCUUCUCUUUUUUUAUUUGACAAAGUAAGCAUUUUAAUUGAUAAGCAUCCUGAGGCUUCAUAUCAUGGAGCUAAACAUAAUCAAUAAUUUGCUCUUAUAUUUUAUUUCUAUAUAAUGCUUAUCCCUUUGGAAAAUCUACUUCAAUUAGUUACUACUGUCUCAAGUCGGCUACUCCAUUCAUAAUGACGAGCACCAUGCUGAGACAAUGUAUUUGCUAGAUUGCUCCAAGAUUUUCUGUCAUUUACUUCGACAUUGCGAGUUUCAUAUGAUGAAAAUCCAAGCAAUAAAUGGUUAGAAUUUUUUUCAUUUCUAAACCUGUUUUAUCCAAACUGCAUGGUCCCCAAGUAAGCUUAAAUGUUCCACGUACUGUAAACUAGACAUGAGUUUCCUGGAAGUUUAAUAAUGAAGUUGUGUAACUUCUCUUUCAUUUUCUUUAUGCAGGAGUUGUGUAGCAAUACUCUUGAGUGUGUUAUCAAUAGGUUGAAAAUGGCAGCUCAAAAUUUUCUUUCGCUCGAAACAAGUGGAAGGAGCUCACAAGAUAGGAGAGAGAUGUUAUGAUUAAAUUACAUUGUAUUUUUCAAGAUAAUAACAUUUUUAU